rnacentral:rRNA from 1 species
GACGAACGCUGGCGGCGUGCUUAACACAUGCAAGUCGAACGGUGAAGCGCCUUCCUUUUUGGUGGGUGUGGAUGAGUGGCGAACGGGUGAGUAACACGUGAGUAACCUGCCCCCUUCUUCUGGAUAACCGCAUGAAAGUGUGGCUAAUACGGGAUAUUCUGGGUCUGUCGCAUGAUGGGUCUGGGAAAGAUAUUGUUUCGGUGGGGGAUGGGCUCGCGGCCUAUCAGCUUGUUGGUGGGGUGAUGGCCUACCAAGGCGGUGACGGGUAGCCGGCCUGAGAGGGUGGACGGUCACACUGGGACUGAGACACGGCCCAGACUCCUACGGGACGCAGCAGUGGGGAAUAGUGCACAAUGGGCGCAAGCCUGAUGCAGCGACGCCGCGUGAGGGAGGGAGGCCUUCGGGUUGUGAACCUCUUUCGCCAGUGAAGCAGGCCUGCCUCGUUUGUGGGUGGGUUGACGGUAGCUGGAUAAGAAGCGCCGGCUAACUACGUGC